GCUCGAGACAAAAGCUGGGGUAGAAUUCCUUCUCUACAUAUGAAAAAAACAUGGAGGCGGGGCAGCGCUUGACUAUCAAGGAAACGAAGUGCAGAAAGAAACUGCUGAAGUGAAUGGUGUAAUCAUCUCUGUUUGACUUCAAUGGAAGACAUGUCUGAAAACAACAUAAAGCCAGCUGCGUUCAACUGCGGUCUCUGAAGGCCAUGGUGUUGACAUGUCCUGCUCUGGAUCGCAGGCAACCUUAACAAUGCAACGAGCGGCACUGUGGAUCUGAGCAUAUCUGGCACAGACACGGUGGAAGGGAGGAGGAGGAACACAAAGAAGGAAAAAAAAAAAAAGAAACACGACGGCAGGCGACCAGUGGACGGGCCGGAAACUUGGGAUUUUCCAGCAGAAGUGAAUGCAAAGUGUAGAUUGGGCGGGUUUGUUUUAGCUGACGCCAGGAAAAGCUGCAGCCAAAGAGUGACAAACUCAACGCUUAUGGUGACCCUGCCGCAUUCAUACAUAAGCAGAAAGAUCUGAGGGUGUGUGUGUGUGUGUGUGUACUGGGUGGGUGUGAGUUGUUGGUGUGGGAGUUAGUGGAGGGGGAUUCCUCUGCCCAUGAAACAUUACUGUAGUCUGGCGCCAUGAUUGACCUAUGUCCUGCACAAGAGAGAAAAUUUUUCCCCACUGACUCCCUUUUUCUAGGAGCUGAAUGUUUAAGCAACCCCUGAACACACAGGAACACUCUCUCACUGUAAACUAUCACGAUUUUCAAAAGGGAAAAAAAAUCCUGGACUAAACAUAAGGAGCAGAAUUUCAUAAAGACUUGGAUGUGAAAUCGUAAGACUUUUCGAUGCCUUGCUCAAGGGCACCUAAGUCGUGGAAUUGCCGGCCCGAGAUUCGAACCCACAACCCUAGGGUUAGGAGUCAAACUCUCUAACCACUAGGCGACGACUUCCCCCAAACCACAUAGCAAUGUUCUGGCAAACACUCAGAACACAUAGCAAGACCCUGGCUAGUGGCAACCUCUCUGAACACAUAGCAACACUCUCGCAACAUGCCCUAGCAUAGCAGCAUUUAAACAGGAAAGCACCACUCAAGGUCCUGAAUGUAAUUCCGCUAGACAAAAAGCUUCAGGGCUGUUUCAUAUCAGCCUUAGGUUCACUGCAGUUAUAUAGAGCUGAACUGUGAUAUCAUUGUGUUACUAUGCACUUUUCCAAACUGAUAGCAAGCUAAAGCGAGAACUAACAAUAGGACCUCAGGGCUGGUCUUCCCUCCUUAGGGAUUUUUAAACUAAGCUGCAGAGGCCGUAAAGACUUGACAGAGCGCUGAUGAAUG